rnacentral:tRNA from 1 species
GCACCUCUGGUGGAAUGGCAGACACGAUGGACUUAGAAUCCAUUGCUUCGGCGUAAGGGUUCAAAUCCCUUGGGGUGUACCA